GUGCUUCCGAUGAGUCCCAAACUAGGACGAAACAGUUGUCCAGUAC
rnacentral:hammerhead_ribozyme from 1 species